CAAAUUAUGAACUCUGUUUAUUUAGUCAGUCAAACAUUAAAUCACAAACUGUUAAAGCAACAAGUUCAAUUAAAGCAGAAAUAAAUAAUCCCAUAAAACAGAAAAAGGCUCAGAGGUGAAGGUUCGAGGAGUUAAUAAUCCUCCUCACUGCAGGGAAACUUUGAUAACAGAGUUAAAAAAUAAACAGAGAUCUUCAUCCUUUUAUCAAAGCUGUUCAAUAAAACUCACAGUUCAAGUCAAUCACACAGUAUCUGUAACAUCUGCUCAACUGCUUCAGCUGGACUAGGUGACAUUAAAAUGAAAAAGGAGUAUUUUUGAGGAGUAUUGCUAAAAUUGGUUCAUUAUAAAACAUGUUUGGUGUGAUAUAUAUAUAAGUAGUGAACUUCAUGUUUACCAUCGAAAAGGGCAGAUAAGCAGAUAAAGAACUUGGAUUUCCUCCAGAGUAGGGGAGACCGGGGCUUGUUGUCACACUUUUUACACUCAUAUAUUUCUCGGGAUUAACAUAUCAUAUAUAAACAAAAUAUGUACCAGAUAACAGACCAAAGUCUCAGGUAUAUAUUUUGUAUUCAUGUCAUUUUUAUAUCUUGUGUCAGUGCAGCGUUAUAAGCGAUCAAAUAGAGAGUGUGAACAUGUGCCCCACCAUCGGGUAAGUUGUCUCACUAUAUUGGGGUAAGAUGUCACAGUGGGGUUUUUUAGCUAAUAAAACAAGGACAUAAUUAUUGAUCAAAUUCAGGCACAGAAAAAGUUAAUCAUUUAUCAUUAAGUUAUUAAACAAACACUAACAUAAACUAUCACACGACUGUUUUUCUUUUGUAAUUCCAUGUCUUCUCACUUUCUCCUCUCCUUUAAACCACUCUGUUCUCUGUAAAAAUUAACUCAAAGUUUCAAUAUGACAACUGCUGAUAAACAGACUCUCUAUGUUAAUUUUAACCCCUUUUAAACAUGUGACAACUAACCCCAAAGUGACUGAGACAUACUGCCCCAAACUAACAUGUUUGCUAAUUCUAGCUCUAGUUUAACGUUAUCUUAAAACAGAACAAUGACUGCGGUAUGACAGGAUGCAUUAAUCUCUCCUCUCAAAAGUCCACAUGUUUCACUGCGAGGAUUUUUAUCUGGAAGAAGCUUAUUUUAAAAUAUAUAAAGUUAAAAAAUUUUUACUUCCGGUUGUGCAAAAUGGUUAACUGGCGCUCAUCUCGGUUCACAAUGUUCUCUUCUCUUCUCUUCUCAGACAGGACACGACCUCUGACCACAUAAAAGAAUAAAACUAGCUUUCCGCUUUUUAGCUGUGCCCUCCUGGGGCAAAGAUAAUUGCAAUGUGACAACUUACCCAUGUGACAACAAGCCCCGGUCUCCCCUAAAUGUGACAUGACUGCUCAGUAAAAAAGUAUCCCCAUUAAAUCAAAAGUUUUUCUUCUAAAUCGACAAAAGUUUUAGCAAGACUCAAAAAAAGUUUCCCUUUCAACAAACUGACUCAUUUGAGAGUUAAAGGUUCGAGUUCAUCUGUUAACUUCUGUACAACUUAGAGUCUUUUUUUUAUGAUAUCAACAAAGCAGUGAUUUACAAACGGGGUUACACGCCCCCUAGAGGCUGUCUGGAGUUAUGACAGCAGGAUUUGUCAAAGGUAAUCGUCAUGUUGAUGUAAACGUUAAUGAACCUUUAAGAGUUAGCUUAUUUUAAAAAGGACUGGUAACUGAAUAAACAGUAGAUGGCAAACGUAAAAAGGCGUCCAAACUAAUUUCUCUUUUGGCUCAAGAGCAGCCAAAGUUUAUGUUAUAACUUAUAAAGGGUUAUCUGAGGAUCUACAGGUCCAGCUUUGUCUGUUAGUCCAAUGAGAUAGCAUGAGCUGAGACUUGCAGUUAACGGAUCAAAAGAGCAGGAAGCACCUUUAAAACUUGUUUAAAGGGAAACAAUAUUGAUGAUCGUUAAAGAAAAAGGCGGAGAUCCAAAAAGGCGGAUGC